rnacentral:rRNA from 1 species
GACGAACGCUGGCGGCGUGCUUAACACAUGCAAGUCGAGCGGUAAGGCCCUUUCGGGGGUACGACGAGCGGCGAACGGGUGAGUAACACGUGGGUGACCUGCCCUCCAGCUCUGGGAUAAGCCUGGGAAACCGGGGUCUAAUACUGGAUAUGACUCCAUGACGCAUGUUGUGGGGUGGAAAGCCUUGUGCGGCUGAGGAUGGGCCCGCGGCCUAUCAGCUUGUUGGUGGGGUGAUGGCCUACCAAGGCGACGACGGGUAGCCGGCCUGAGAGGGC